UACCUGCAGCUCGAGUGGUAACCGCUAUUAUUGGGCCUAAAGCGUCCGUAGCCGGUUUGGUAAAUAUCUGGGUAAAUCGUGAGGCUUAACUUCACGAACUUCGGAUAGACUGCCAGACUUGGGAUCGGGGGAGGUCAGAGGUACUCCAGGGGUAGCGGUGAAAUGUUGUAAUCCUUGGAGGACCACCGGUAGCGAAGGCGUCUGACUAGAGCGAGUCCGACGGUGAGGGACGAAGCCCUGGGGCGCAAACCGGAUUAGAUACCCGGGUAGUCCAGGGUGUAAACAAUGUGGGCUUUGUAUUGGAGGUCCCACGUGGGCGUCCAGUGCAGAAGAGAAGUUGUUAAGCCCACCGCCUGGGAAGUACGGUCGCAAGGCUGAAACUUAAAGGAAUUGGGCGGGGGAGCACAGCAACGGGAGGAGCGUGCGGUUU
rnacentral:rRNA from 1 species